CACUGUGUCAGGUGCAGUAGAGUGGGGAUGACAGGGGAGCGUUGGUGACUCCAGGGACACGGACAGCUGACGCCUCUGCAUGAAGCUCCACACCAAGCUCUGGGGAUGUUCCUAGAAUCCAGCCCAGUUCCUGGCAAGCAAGAAGAAGAAAAGUCAUGUUUCCAGCUUGGACUGCUGUUUCAUCUGUUAGACCUGCUCAGCCUAUUUCCUUGAUUGGCCCAAUGCUCUUCCUCCGUGAGAACUUUACCUUCUCCUUGGGUGCCAGCCAUCGCCCAUUCUUGCCUGAUUAAGAAAUUCUCUGGGAUGAUCAGAGCAUCUGCAAAUGUGUAAAAUAUGAUCUUAGCCCUUGCUCAAGUAUUUUAACAACCCAACCUUAUGAUAGGUUGUAUUUCAUUGGCUUGGAAGAAGCACUGCAUUAUCGGGGAAAACAGCACAGAUGUUGCCUAAUAAAU